UGAACGCGAAGAACCUUACCAGGUCUUGACAUCCUCUGACCUCCCUAGAGAUAGGGCCUCUCCCCCUUCGGGGGACAGAGUGACAGGUGGUGCAUGGUUGUCGUCAGCUCGUGUCGUGAGAUGUUGGGUUAAGUCCCGCAACGAGCGCAACCCUUGACCUUAGUUGCCAGCAUUCAGUUGGGCACUCUAAGGUGACUGCCGGUGACAAACCGGAGGAAGGUGGGGAUGACGUCAAAUCAUCAUGCCCCUUAUGACCUGGGCUACACACGUGCUACAAUGGAUGGUACAAAGGGCUGCGAGACCGCGAGGUUAAGCCAAUCCCAUAAAACCAUUCUCAGUUCGGAUUGCAGGCUGCAACUCGCCUGCAUGAAGCUGGAAUCGCUAGUAAUCGCGGAUCAGCAUGCCGCGGUGAAUACGUUCCCGGGUCUUGUACACACGCA
rnacentral:rRNA from 1 species